AGGCGCUGCGGGAGGCCACUGGUGCUCAAGCACCUCGGAUUCCCGCUCAUACAGCCGGCCGGAUCAUGUGGCAGUCAGGUGGCGACCACUAUCUAGCCCAACGUUGCUGGAGUUGUUGCAGCUCUGCCGGGCCCACAUAUCAGCGUUCGUGCAUGACGGUGAGUUGCCACCCAUGGCAUCUCUGGACCAGUUGCAGGCCAGAUUUGGGAACAGCCCGCCUGGCUCCCUGUCCUCCCUGAGGCUGAUGCAGGCAGACAGGAUGCUGAGGCUAGCACAGAUCAGGAGAGCCUCCCAAGUCCCGGCCUUGGGGUUUGGUCAGGUAAGCAGGAGUGGCUGUAGGAGUGGGAACCACCCCUGUCUUCUUCGUGCCUCAUGAUCCUGCCUGUCCCUAGCUGAGUAGCCUGUGGCCACCGGGGCUGGUAACGGGCAUCCCCCUUGUGGACCCCAAGGAGCUGCUGGCAGCCCAGGGAGAGCCUGACUGCACCUAUGAGAGCAGCUCCCCACCCUCAUGGCCAAGUGAGAGCCCCGCUGUGCCCUUGCCAGCUCUCCUGCUCCCCUCCCAGGGAAAGCCCCCUCGUCUCAGGCCUGUACUGCCCCGCCCCUAUUCUCCAGCCUCCUGUGGAUGGGUCACAAAAUGACUGUGCAGCAGCCGAAGGCCCCUGGAACCCAGACAGAUGUGCUACUGGCUGACCUUCAGCACUGCAGGUACCUGUGCCAGCCCCCAGCCCCGCCUCCUGUUGGCCCUCCCACGGAAGACAAGGGUGUGUGGCCGUAGUCAUGGCCAGAAUCUUCACUUCUGGGCCAGCACCCGGCAUGGAGCCCUUCUGCUGGGGCGAUCCCCCCACUGGAAAGUGGGUGGGUACCAGUUGUGUGUGCAAUGCCCUGUAGGCCUGAGAGGAGGUGGGGGUGUGGAAGGCACCAGGAUGAGGUAGGCGGUGGGUGCUGGCCCUCCCACUGCUGGGCUGCGUGACCUGGGAUCAGUCUUUCCUCUGUCUGAUGGCAGGUGCAGAUUGCCUGCCCUGGCACGUGGUGGGCAGUCUGGGCCCAGGAGCAUCUCCCACCCUGUGUGGCUGGGGCCUGCUCGUGAGUGGCCUGCUGUCCUCCUGCCCAGCAAGCUGCACCACCCUGGCCUGUUGCUGCUGAUGGCACUGAGUCCCUCUGCAGAUCUGUCGGGGCUGUGCCUUCUCUUUGAGCCUGUGUGGCUGGGCUCCCUGCAGGGGGUGCUGCACCCACCGAGACCAAGUGAGGAGGCACCUGGGACUGUGCUGGGCCUGCCGCCCCGGCCCCCUGCUGCAGCAGGUGCUAAAGGCCCUGCUGUUCCUGCAGGCCCACUGGCGAGCUCACAGUGGCUUCAGCUCUCACACCGUGUAGCUGGUGCAGCCAGGCCUGGCUAAAGUGGGCCACCUGGAGCACAGGCGCCUCCUACGCCAGCGCUGGCUGCGGCCCAGGCAGCAGAAGGGCUACCCCUGGGGAGGCCCAGGCCCAGGGCUUCCCCCGCCCCCUGAACUACACCCAUGGCUGCCACUUCAGCUGAUCUGCGGUGACAUGCCCACCACCACCUCAGACCUCUACAGCUUCUGCAUCCUGAUCCAGGAGGUCUUCACUGAGAAACUGUACAUCAAGUGGCUCACAGAGCCAAGACCACACCCAGGCCUGUGGCCCCUGUGAUGUCCCCAGGCCCCAUCCCAUGCCAGGCCUGAGACUCCUGAGGUCAGAGACCACAGCAGGAUCCCAAGGGGUGCAGCCUGGAACUUGGGCAGCAGCUUGACUCUAGGCAGCAGCUCUGGGCCCAGCCCAGGACCCAGCCCUGGGUCUGGCCACAGCCCCACAGCCAGGGUCAGCCUGCACUGCUGCCUGGAGCCCAGCUCAACAGUACAGAUACCCCCAGAGCCCUGCACAACUGUCCCACUGCUAACCUGUGACCCCCUCCGCCCGCCCUCCAGGAGUCACCAACCCGAAGUUCCCUGGCUGCCUCUCCUUUGACCAGGGAACUUUAGGGUCGCCCAACUGUCCCCUCACUCACCUAUGACCCUUAACCAACCCUGCUUCCCCCAGGGCCCUUCCCUGCACUCCAACUCCAGCCUCUAGGACUCAGCCUCCCUGCUGGGGACCCAGAGCUCUGCGGAACAGUUUGAGGAAGCUCUCAGCCAAGAUUCCAGCCCUGCAGGGGCUGCUGCGGCGCACACACAGGGUUAUUCUGCUGGAGCCCCAGCCCUGUGAGCCCAUCCCCAGCCUGCUGACCCACAGGGAGGCUUCCCACACACUGGGAGGCUGCUGGCAGGGAAGGCCACGAGGGCAGGCUAAGCAGAGGACCCCGAGCUCAGCCUGUGCCCCAUCUGCCCUCCCAGGCCCGCUGGAGCACCAUGGCUACCAGGUGGCAGCUCCAGCCUUCUCUCCUGCAGGCACCCGGUACUGAGCUGACUAGAGGAGGUCUCUUCUCCAGCCUGCAGAAGUGAGACCCGAGGCCUUGGAUGGGAGGACCCCAGGUAACCCUAGGUCUUUAUCCCUGAGGUAACCCUAGGUCUACCUGUGCCUCACUGCUCCCCAGGAUGGACCUGCUGGAGGAGAUCAUAGCAGAGCUACAAAAAGGAUGUCAGCUUGGAGAAAAGCCCAGCCUGAGCCCCACUCCUGACCUAGACUCCCAGGGUGCCCAUGGUUCCCCUCUCUGCAGAUACCACCUCUCAGAGGCUCCCAGGAGUAACUCCUGCCUUGGUGCCUCCCCAAAAGGAAAUAGAAUGAUAAAGUGCCCCCUC
ensembl:lncRNA TEX14BP testis expressed 14B, pseudogene